AUUGAACGCUGGCGGCAUGCCUUACACAUGCAAGUCGAACGGCAGCACGGGAGCUUGCUCCUGGUGGCGAGUGGCGAACGGGUGAGUAAUGCAUCGGAACGUGCCCUGAAGUGGGGGAUAACGUAGCGAAAGUUACGCUAAUACCGCAUAUUCUGUGAGCAGGAAAGCAGGGGAUCUUCGGACCUUGCGCUUUUGGAGCGGUCGAUGUCGGAUUAGCUAGUUGGUGGGGUAAAGGCCCACCAAGGCGACGAUCCGUAGCGGGUCUGAGAGGAUGAUCCGCCACACUGGAACUGAGACACGGUCCAGACUCCUACGGGAGGCAGCAGUGGGGAAUUUUUGGGACAAUGGGCGCAAGCCUGAUCCAGCCAUGCCGCGUGAGUGAAGAAGGCC
rnacentral:rRNA from 1 species